UGUAUGGAGCAUCUGGAAAGCAUCUGUGGAAGAAUUACAGCAAAAACUUCUACAAUUCAAGGUUAUCAUUUCUGUCUAGAUAAGAAGUUUCUCUAUCAGGACUAGCUAACUGACUUUUGAUCAAGACAACAGCCUGAUUUCUCAUCUGGACUCCUGGCAGAGCAGCCGCAAACUGUAGGCUGUGUCCACAGAAGUUGAAAACAUCCUGACAGGUAGGUAAAUAUUUCCUCUUGAAAUAAAAUUGACCAGCCAAGGAAGGAGAUAAUUUGUUAUUGUGGAUGGUUGGUGAGCUGUAGAAAUUAAUUCUCAGGGUUUGAUUUUAGUAUAUCAGGUCUCAGGACACUGAAGUUUCCCCUUGGCAGACAGCCUCUUGGCCACUGGCUUAUAUUGAGCUCAGCCUUCUAAGGGACACACUGAGGAAAUCAAAAUCUAGUAGAAAAAACAAAUGCUAAUUUCAAGUGCUAUAAAGUGGCCUGUAUUUAGUAUCAAAUAAAUGCAUUAGGGACCCAGAAAAGGAAAGUUAGCAUGGGCUGGGAUAAUUAGGGAAAGCUUCACAAAGGAGGUGGAGAAUGACCUGGGCUUUGAUGUAUACAAGUAGACUUCAUAUAGACCAAAAAAAGAGGGUGUGCAUUAAUGACAGCACCAUAGGUGUGGAAAUGCCCAUGACACAUCUGAGAGAUAAUAAACACUCACCUGGUUCAGAGUUCACCAGAGCUCCCUAACAUUUCUAUGCAUAGUCUAGCUUAUCCUCCCCACUCACAUUCACAUGGAACCCCACUGCUACUGUACCUUUCCCCACAGUGAUUUUAUUAUUUGUCUCAUAUAAAAGGAAUAUUUUUUCAAAUAUAUUGAAAUUUGGAAGAAAACAAUUUGAUAGCCUCACCCAAGUGCUUUGGAUAUUUUCUAGAGGCAUGUUCUUCAAGGUGUAGGGAGCCUCUUAAGACUUCCGUUCCUCAAAUCACAGAACUGAAAACUUUACCUCUUGGGUGGCUUAAGAAUGGUGAAUAAAAUAUAGCUCCCAUCUUGAAACAAAGCAUGUCACUGUGCAAACAAGGAACAUUUAAAAAUACACAGAAAAUGCAGGCUGAUAAAAUAAAUAAUCUGGCAGUGUGAAAUUUGAUGGGGGAAAGUAGAAGAUGUCAUAGAGAAAAGAUUUUCUUUUGUUUUGUUUUUC
rnacentral:lncRNA from 1 species